CUUGAGGUGGAAGUUUGCAGUAUAAUUAGCACAAUGAAAGUGUCAGUUAAAGCCUAAAGAGUUUUAGCGUUUCCAACCAGAGUUAAGCUGAAAUGAUGCUCCUGUCUCUGCACAGCACUGAAAACUCAUGCUGAUGAGUGCAGGAUCCAGAAUUGUUGAAUUUACACCUCAGAGCUCAUCUACAGCUCCACCCUGACCUUCAUUAAUAGCACCAGAUCAGAUCAAAUAGCCAAAGUCAAUCUGCUGGGCUGUUCUAAACAACAAGGAGAGAAGGUAAUGUCCUUGAUGCUGCUACCAGUGAACCCAAGGGCAGAAUUAGGUACAACUUUGGAUGCUGUGAUGUUGAAGCCAGCUUCCUAAUUCCCAAGCAUGGCUAGCCCUAGAGGAUACUCUCAAGAAGCAGCAUAGAAGAAAAGUUCUAUCCUUGUAUGAAAGACCAGCUUUGAGGGCCAUUUCUUUCCUGUUAAGAGGGCAGGAAGACCAGGCCAUCUGUCACAAGAGCAGCAUCUAUAAGAAAAACUGCAUUAACUGCACUUUAACUCAUCUUCCUUGAUAAUUUCCUCACUUGUGGCUCCGACUGCUUCAUGUUUUAUUUCUGACAAACAAAAGAGACUUAUUAAAGCAGUGGUUUGCUUCAUUCAUUUUUGAAAUAAAAACUCAGUAAGUGAUGGGUUGUCA
rnacentral:lncRNA from 14 species